rnacentral:sRNA from 20 species
GUCAACAACCCCCCACUAGAAGUGGGGGGCUUGCAGGAGCAAAGUGCUACGUUACCGUAGAAAGCUACAACAGGUACGGCAGGGUGCUUCUCCAGCCUUGCCCGCUACG